rnacentral:rRNA from 1 species
UGGGGAAUAUUGCACAAUGGGCGCAAGCCUGAUGCAGCCAUGCCGCGUGUAUGAAGAAGGCCUUCGGGUUGUAAAGUACUUUCAGCGGGGAGGAAGGUGUUGUGGCUAAUAACCGCAGCAAUUGACGUUACCCGCAGAAGAAGCACCGGCUAACUCCGUGCCAGCAGCCGCGGUAAUACGGAGGGUGCAAGCGUUAAUCGGAAUUACUGGGCGUAAAGCGCACGCAGGCGGUCUGUCAAGUCGGAUGUGAAAUCCCCGGGCUCAACCUGGGAACUGCAUUCGAAACUGGCAGGCUAGAGUCUUGUAGAGGGGGGUAGAAUUCCAGGUGUAGCGGUGAAAUGCGUAGAGAUCUGGAGGAAUACCGGUGGCGAAGGCGGCCCCCUGGACAAAGACUGACGCUCAGGUGCGAAAGCGUGGGGAGCAAACA